rnacentral:rRNA from 1 species
UUCCUACGGGGCGCAGCAGUGGGGGAUAUUGCACAAUGGGGGAAACCCUGAUGCAGCGACGCCGCGUGAAGGAAGAAGGCUUUCGGGUUGUAAACUUCUUUUCUGAGGGACGAAGAAAGUGACGGUACCUCAGGAAUAAGCCACGGCUAACUACGUGCCUGCAGCCGCGGUAAUACGUAGGUGGCAAGCGUUAUCCGGAUUUAUUGGGUGUAAAGGGCGUGUAGGCGGGAAAGCAAGUCAGAUGUGAAAACUCAGGGCUCAACCCUGAGCCUGCAUUUGAAACUGUUUUUCUUGAGUGCUG